GAUGAAGAACGCAGCGAAAUGCGAUAAGUAAUGUGAAUUGCAGAAUUCAGUGAAUCAUCGAAUCUUUGAACGCACAUUGCGCCCCUUGGUAUUCCGAGGGGCAUGCCUGUUCGAGCGUCAUUAUAACCCCUCAAGCUCAGCUUGGUGUUGGGGCCUGCCGCACGGGCAGCCCUUAAAAUCAGUGGCGGUGCCAUCUGGCUCUAAGCGUAGUAAUUCUUCUCGCUAUAGAGUCCCGGUGGAUGCUUGCCAUUAACCCCCAAUUUUCUAUGGUUGACCUCGGAUCAGGUAGGGAUACCCGCUGAACUUAAGCAUAUCAAUAAGCGAGGA
rnacentral:misc_RNA from 1 species